rnacentral:rRNA from 1 species
CAUCACGCCACUGACGCUCAUGCACGAAAGCGUGGGUAUCGAACAGGAUUAGAUACCCUGGUAGUCCACGCGGUAAACGAUGAUAACUAGUUAUCCGGGGCGAUUGGGUCCUGGGUGACCGAGCGAAAGCGUUAAGUUAUCCACCUGGGGAGUACGCCGGCAACGGUGAAACUCAAAGGAAUUGACGGGGGCCCGCACAAGCGGAGGAACAUGUGGUUUAAUUCGAUGAUACGCGAGGAACCUUACCCGGGCUCAAACGCAGUGCGACAGACCCUGAAAGGGGUUUUUCUUCGGACGCAUUGCGAGGUGCUGCAUGGUUGUCGUCAGCUCGUGCCGUGAGGUGUCGGCUUAAGUGCCAUAACGAGCGCAACCCCCAUCUUCAGUUGCCAUCGGUCAAAGCCGGGCACUCUGGAGAGACUGCCGGCGCAAGCUGUGAGGAAGGCGGGGAUGACGUCAAAUCAGCACGGCCCUUACGUCCGGUGCGACACACGUGUGACAAUGGCGUGUGCACAGCGGGAAGCCAGGCGGCGACGCCGAGCUGAUCCCGAAAACCCGUCUCAGUUCGGAUCGGAGUCUGCAACCCGACUCCGUGAAGCUGGA